rnacentral:rRNA from 1 species
CCCUUAGAUGUUCUGGGCUGCACGCGUGUUACAAUCGGGAGUACAACAAGAUUGCAAAUCCUAGUGGAUGAGUGGUUCUUCGAAAUUUUCUGAAGACUGGGAUAGUUGAUUGAAAUUAUUCAACUCAAACGAGGAAUUCCUUGUAAUUGUAAUUCAUUAUAUUGUAAUGAAUACGUCCCUGCCCUUUGUACACACCGCCCGUCGCUCCUACCGAUUGAAUGCUCAGGUGAGCCAUUCGGACUUUCAUCAUGCUGGUUUCCAGUUUUGAUGAAGGAAAGUCUUGCGAACCUUAUCAUUUAGAGGAAGGAGAAGUCGUAACA